rnacentral:rRNA from 1 species
UCUAGCAUGUGCGCGAGUCAUUGGGACUCAAUAAACCUAAAGGCGCAAUGAAAGUGAAAGUCUGUUUACGCGGACUUAGGGAGGAUAGGUGCGUACAAGUUGUUUACAACCUCGCACUCCCGGGGCGUCUCGCACUCAUUGCGAGGUGGGGCGCACCAAGAGCGUACACGCUGGGACCCGAAAGAUGGUGAACUAUGCCUGGUCAGGACGAAGUCAGGGGAAACCCUGAUGGAGGUCCGUAGCGAUUCUGACGUGCAAAUCGAUCGUCGGAACUGGGCUUAGGGGCGAAAGACUAAUCGAACCAUCUAGUAGCUGGUUCCCACCGAAGUUUCCCUCAGGAUAGCUGGCACUAGAUUAUGGAUGAGUCUCAUCCGGUAAAGCGAAUGAUUAGAGGCAUUGGGGUCGAAACGGCCUCAACCUAUUCUCAAACUUUAAAUGGGUGAGAUCUCCGGCUUGCUCGAUUUAUGAAGCCGGAGAUCGGAUCAAUUAGUGCCAAGUGGGCCACUUUUGGUAAGCAGAACUGGCGCUGUGGGAUGAACCAAACGCAGAGUUAAAGCGCCAAAAUCGACGCUUAUGGGAUACCAUGAAAGGCGUUGGUAACUUAA